rnacentral:rRNA from 1 species
GGCUCAGAUUGAACGCUGGCGGCAGGCCUAACACAUGCAAGUCGAGCGGCAGCGGGAAGUAGUUUACUACUUUGCCGGCGAGCGGCGGACGGGUGAGUAAUGUCUGGGAAACUGCCUGAUGGAGGGGGAUAACUACUGGAAACGGUAGCUAAUACCGCAUGACCUCGCAAGAGCAAAGUGGGGGACCUUCGGGCCUCACGCCAUCGGAUGUGCCCAGAUGGGAUUAGCUAGUAGGUGGGGUAAUGGCUCACCUAGGCGACGAUCCCUAGCUGGUUAGAGAGGAGGUCCAGCCACACUGGAACUGAGACACGGUCCAGACUCCUACGGGAGGCAGCAGUGGGGAAUAUUGCACAAUGGGCGCAAGCCUGAUGCAGCCAUGCCGCGUGUGUGAAGAAGGCCUUCGGGUUGUAAAGCACUUUCAGCGAGGAGGAAGGCAGUCGUGUUAAUAGCACGA